AAUGGGCGCAAGCCUGAUCCAGCAAUGCCGCGUGGGUGAAGACGGCCUGCGGGUUGUAAAGCCCUUUAGGUGGGGAAGAAGGAGACCUGGUGAAUAGCUGGGUGUUUUGACAUUACCCACAGAAUAAGCACCGGCUAACUCCGUGCCAGCAGCCGCGGUAAUACGGAGGGUGCGAGCGUUAAUCGGAAUGACUGGGCGUAAAGCGUGCGUAGGUGGCGCUAUUAGUCAGCCGUGAAAGCCCUGGGCUUAACCUGGGAAUGGCGGUUGAAACGGUAGUGCUCGAGUGGGUGAGAGGAUGGUGGAACUCCUGGUGUAGCGGUGAAAUGCGUAGAGAUCAGGAAGAACACCGAUGGCGAAGGCAGCCGUCUGGUACCACACUGACACUGAGGCACGAAAGCGUGGGGAGCAAA
rnacentral:rRNA from 1 species